rnacentral:lncRNA from 1 species
GGAGCCCCAGGGGAGGGGGAGCCCCGGGGGGAGACGGGAGGGAGGAGGGGAGCAUGGCGGACGGAGAGCCCCUCGUCCCUGGCCGGCCCCCAGCGGGCUACUCUCCUGAGAGCCCACUGCGCCUGCUCAGUAACCCAGGGGGCUCCCCAUCACCUGGAGUUCCCCAACCGUUUGGAUGCCCCCUGGCACUCAGCCAGCUCCAGCCCCACCCGUCUGUAGCUGGCCAGGGGGCUCUCCGGGGCAGCUGUCCCCAGAGUGGGAGCUCCAGGUUGCUGGCAUCCUGCCACCCCUGGGGCCACGUCAACAGGACGCACGUGCUCCACUCACACAGCCACCUGCCACCAGGGCGCUGAGAAAUGGUGGUGAGCCAGAGAGGCCCCCCAGCACUCAAGUCUGGUCCCCGCAGGGCUUCUCUCUGGGCUGUUGAUGCACC